rnacentral:rRNA from 1 species
CCCUUAGAUGUUCUGCGCGCUACAAUGGUCUUCGCAAACGGAUGCAUUCUCGAAGGAGAAUGCCAAUCUUGGAAUCUAUGCCUUGGUCGGGACAGUUGCUUGCAAUUUUUCGACUCGAACCUGGAAUUCCUUGUAAUCGUGAUUCAUCACAUCACGAUGAAUACGUCCCUGCCCUUUGUACACACCGCCCGUCGCUCCUACCGAUCGAAGAGUUAGGUGAAUUGUUUUGAUCGAUAAGAUUUGACUAUGGUCAACUCUCGUUGUGAAAUUCUGUGAAUCUGACUGUUUAGAGGAAGGAAAAGUCGUAACA